GCCGCAGUAGCUCAGGGGUAGAGCACACCCUUGGUAAGGGUGGGGCCGGGAGUUCGAAUCUCCCCUGCGGCACCA
rnacentral:tRNA from 1 species